UACGUAGGGGGCAAGCGUUGUCCGGAUUUAUUGGGCGUAAAGAGCGUGUAGGCGGCCUGGAAGGUCCGUUGUGAAAACUCGAGGCUCAACCUCGAGACGUCGGUUGAAACCAUCUGGCUAGAGUCCGGAAGAGGAGUGUGGAAUUCCCGGUGUAGCGGUGAAAUGCGCAGAUAUCGGGAAGAACACCCGUGGCGAAGGCGGCACUCUGGGACGGUACUGACGCUGAGACGCGAAAGCGUGGGGAGCGAACAGG
rnacentral:rRNA from 1 species